CCACCCUCAAGCACAGCUUGGUGUUGGGCGUCUGUCCCGCCUUCCGGCGCGGACUCGCCUCAAAACGAUUGGCGGCCCUUCCAGCGGCUUCGAGCGCAGCAGAAUUGCGUCUCUGGCGGCGGGGAGUGGCGUCCAGAAGCCCAUUCUCA
rnacentral:misc_RNA from 1 species